rnacentral:lncRNA from 1 species
UUUUUUUUUUUUUUUUUUUUUAUGUUAAGGGGAAAGGAUCUUGUUUUGGGCUUAAGAAAUCCCAAGAUUUCCACCUGCAAUUUCAGUUUGAGGAUAAUAACCACAGCAGCUGACUCUGCAGGGAAGGAAGCUUCAGAGUAACCACUUUCACAGCUCAGUCCAGAGUUCUCACUCUUUUUUGUUGUUAUUGUGUUUUGUUUGUUUGUUUUUCUCGUCUUCUUCUUUUCUUGUAUUGAUCGGAUCAGACUCUUCAUUCAUCAGUUCACUGAUGCUGGUGCUGUCAGGUCCAGAGGAAUGGCACCUGCAUGCAAAGAAAAUUUAAAUGGAGAGAGAGCUGUUCCCAAGCUGGCUGUGAGACACCGAGGUGGAGUCUUCUGCUAGAGCACAUGCCAUGUGAGCUUGGGCUGCAGAGGCUGGUCUUACUGAUAAAUGGUUCAAUUUCUAAUAUUUGAAGCUUGAUCUACACUUGCAGGCUUGUCUCAUAGGUGUUCUGAGCUGAUACGGUGUUUUAUCAAGCAAUUUUGUGGUGGCAGUUUAUCUGAGGGACUCUAGGAGUCACUGACAGAUGAAUGAAUAUUUGUGGUGUUAUGCCCAAGGACUGAAAAAUAAUUCAUUUAGGAGUAGCUUCCCAUCAGUAUGUAUAUUCAGUUCUUAUCUUCAUUUGUCUCUUUCUGAGUCCAGGAAAAUCUUUUUUGUUUGUUUUAUUUUCUUUGACUGACAAGGGACUGAAAUUGCUCAGAGUUUAUUUUUGUGUCCAGCAUAGUGAGGAACUGGCAAUUUCUGCACUACAGGUACUACAGCAUGGAAAUCUCCUGGUUAUGGAUAAUAGGAAACAUGUCUAUGCCCAGGUGAACGUGCAUGUGGCUAUUUCAGCUUGAGGAACUCUAGUUGUUUGGAAGUAAUCUAUUUAAAAUACACGCACAUAAACCACAGUCGUAGUAUCAUUGGAGUUAUCUUUCUUUGAUAUUGCCAUCAGCUAACAUUACCUGAUGGUAACUUUUCAUAUAACUAAAUACAUAUAUAUAUACACGUAAUAUCUUUUAUACUCAAAUGUUCAAGCAAGGUUAUGAUGAUGUUUUAACUAAUCUAACAGUAUCACUCUGUUGAUAACCACUCUUCCAUCAGUAUUGACAUUUACCUCUUUUUCUGUCUACUAAUGUUAUGACUUACAUUUUUUGCUUUGUGAUAUACCAGCUUAAUAUAUACCUGGUAUAUCAGGUAAUUGACAUGUAUAACUUCAGUAAUAAGAUGUAACUAAAUUAAACUAUUAUC